UACGUAGGGUGCAGGCGUUACUCGGAAUUACUGGGCGUAAAGCGUGCGCAGGCGGCUCCUUAAGUCAGAUGUGAAAGCCCCGGGCUUAACCUGGGAACUGCGUUUGAAACUGGGGAGCUAGAGUGUAGAAGAGGGGGGUGGAAUUCCAGGUGUAGCAGUGAAAUGCGUAGAUAUCUGGAGGAACACCGAUGGCGAAGGCAGCCCCCUGGGCUAACACUGACGCUCAUGCACGAAAGCGUGGGGAGCAAACAGG
rnacentral:rRNA from 1 species